AGUUAAGUAAAGUAGGAGGCAAAAAUGUCAGAGACUGCUCAACAAAGAUUUUGGACAGACUGAUGACCAACAAUCUAAUGUCACAGCUUAACAUGAAGGGCCAUGGCUCAAAAAAAGCAUUUCAGUCAACAGCGCUGUACACCUCUGUGAUAGAUGCAGUCAAAAAGUGGGACAGCAAGGCCACCGAUCACGUCAUUUUACAGUGCCGUGGGAAACCACCUUAAACAUGCCCCUGGACGAUCUGGCGGUGGCGGACACACUGUGGCUGCAAACCAAUAACCACUUAAAUAGAUAUAUAUUUUUUUUGUUGUUGUUGUUAUGGCCUAUAUCUUACCUAUUAAUAAAUGUGUUUUGUUGUUA